UACAGAGGGUGCAAGCGUUAAUCGGAAUUACUGGGCGUAAAGCGUGCGUAGACGGUUAUGUAAGUCAGAUGUGAAAGCCCAGGGCUCAACCUUGGAAUUGCAUCGAGACUGCGUGGCUAGGGUGCGGAAGAGGGAAGCGGAAUUUCCGGUGUAGCGGUGAAAUGCGCAGAUAUCAGGAGGAACACCGGUGGACGAAGGCGGGUCUCUGGGCCGAUGACUGACGCUGGAGGAGCGAAAGCGUGGGGAGCGAACAGGA
rnacentral:rRNA from 1 species